GACUGAGGCAUCAUUGUCCUAUGUACAAUGUAUCUUGUAUCUUCUUCAAUAAAUGUCUCUAUUUUCCAUAUUACAUUGCCAGAUACAAACGUACAGGAUCUGGACAGACCCCGUACAUUUACUAGAUGGGAGCCCACAUGCAGACCACGUCCUGAUGAAACAGGCCCACGGUUACGAGCACUCCCCCUGUUCCCGGGAGGGGAGGUUCCA